AGUUGUGCGCGACUUGAGUUUUUCAAAGUAAAACGUAACUAAUAGGAAGUGUAAAAACGUUACUUAAAAUCUACUUUACAUUACAGCAAAAAACAGUGCGAAAAACAAAAACAACACGUUAAAAGCAAAGCUAAAUUAUGUUAAAUUUGCUUUGUUAGUACGAAAGUGACAAAGGCAUAAACAACUGCUAAAACGACAUUAAAACGAAGCACAUUGUAAAACUGCAGAUAAAAGGUCCACAAGGGCCUUUUUCUGUUUGGCUGGUUCUUACGAACCACACUAUAAUCAUCCCCAGGCAACCAACAGUUCCGGACAGAAAACACCGUUCGAGACCGGAGUCGAGCAAGCAUUUGGUAUCG